rnacentral:rRNA from 1 species
GAUUUCUGGUUCGGCGCACUUGGCCCGUCUCGGUUUACGAGAUUGUGUGCCGGUGUGCGCCAUCCAUCCUUCGAUGAAUCUCUGUUCUACCCUUCAUUGGGUGUGUUCAGAUUUAGGUUCUCGAUCUUUUACUUUGAAAAAAUUAGAGUGUUUCAAGCAGGCUUUAUGCUAUGAAUACAUUAGCAUGGAAUAAUAAUUUAGGACUUCGGUUCUAUUUUGUUGGUUUCUAGGACUGAAGUAAUGAUUGAUAGGGAUAGUUGGGGGUGCUAGUAUUCAGCGGCCAGAGGUGAAAUUCUCGGAUUCGCUGAAGACUAACUUAUGCGAAAGCAUU